UGGGGCGUGACCGGUCGUGGGCGGAGCUAGUGCGGGUCGAAGUUGCGCGAGUCGCCAGAGGGUAGCACCAGAACGGAUGAUCACAACUAGUGCAGCAGCAUCCAGAAAUUUGACUUGCCAUAAAGAAAAAGACCAAGAAGAAGGGAAUCUAAUAGAGAGGCUUUUGUCCUUGAAGCCUGUGAUGAGCAGCUGUGCUGGGGAAAUCCAAGAAGUCUCUCUGAGGAAAUUAGAUUGUGAGACACAGUUAAAGAAUGUGCCUUCUGAAAAAUCCUAGCUAGGUGAAAAUAGUCAAAGUCAGUCAAAAAAUAGUAAAAAAAAAAAAAAAAAAAAAUCCAAGCUAGAUGAAAAUACCUAGGUAAAAAUUACUAUCAUGCAGUAACUUUUUUUGUCUUUAGACUCUGGUUUGAACAACUAAAGGCUGAA